rnacentral:rRNA from 1 species
GAUGAACGCUGGCGGCGUGCCUAAUACAUGCAAGUCGAGCGAACAGACGAGGAGUUUGCUCCUCUGACGUUAGCGGCGGACGGGUGAGUAACACGUGGAUAACCUACCUAUAAGACUGGGAUAACUUCGGGAAACCGGAGCUAAUACCGGAUAAUAUAUUGAACCGCAUGGUUCAAUAGUGAAAGACGGUUUUGCUGUCACUUAUAGAUGGAUCCGCGCCGCAUUAGCUAGUUGGUAAGGUAACGGCUUACCAAGGCAACGAUGCGUAGCCGACCUGAGAGGGUGAUCGGCCACACUGGAACUGAGACAAGGUCCAGACUCCUACGGGAGGCAGCAGUAGGGAAUCUUCCGCAAUGGGCGAAAGCCUGACGGAGCAACGCCGCGUGAGUGAUGAAGGUCUUCGGAUCGUAAAACUCUGUUAUUAGGGAAGAACAAAUGUGUAAGUAACUAUGCACGUCUUGACGGUACCUAAUCAGAAAGCCACGGCUAACUACGUG